UCCUGAUGGAGAAAUGAGACGCUCUUGCCAGUCUUCAUAGCCCCUGUCUCAAGGCACAAAGGGAAUUAGAGCACAUCAAAGUAGCUGGGACUGGAUAGCACCUAUUCUCCAUGGAAAGUUCUUAGACACGCUAAAGCUGAGGCUAAGGAGAUUUGGCUCUAACUCAGUUUAUAUCAGAGGGCUUCUCACUGCAGUUCUAGAAAAUUAAACCUCAGCAGGU
rnacentral:lncRNA from 1 species